rfam:Trichophyton benhamiae CBS 112371 Abenha-G-c-31b08.f1, whole genome shotgun sequence.
UUUCGGGCUGAUAACUAGGCGGUUGUUUCGAUUUUAAACCCACUCUACAACGUCCGCCCUUUAAGUGUCCGAUAUAUUGAAAUAUUCCAUAUUGGCGACGAUCUUACAAGUUUCCUAUCUUGCAAAGCUCGUCUUUGUUGCCCCAUGAUUU